rnacentral:lncRNA from 1 species
UGAAGAUGAAUCUCAGCCUGGUGUAAGACUGAUAUUCCCUUUUGCAAAUCGCUAGUCAUAUGGCAAAGCACGCAAGAAGGCCAUUUCAGCACUACCCCAUAGUCCAAGAAAAAGAAGAGAGCUGAUUUCAAAAACAGAAGAUCAAUGAUGCCUUUCGCUUCAUCAAGCAGGUAUUCCGAAUGGAAUUUUUCAGUCAUAGCAUGGCAAAGGGCCUUAUGGCGGAAUAGGAGGGGCAGUAAAAAGAACAAUUUGGAAGAAAGUUUUACAGGCAAAUAACAAUCAGAAAUGCUGAAGGAUUUUUAUUGUGUGCGCCAAAAAUCAGGAAGAAAACAAGAUCAGAUGUCUGUAUGUGACAGAAGAAGAAAUUAUGAAAGAAUAAAGUGAUAAGCUAGAGGAGCUCUUAAAAAAUGUUAAAUCCAGUUAAAGGAGUUCAAACCGCAAGAAGUAUAGUAAAAACUAGAUCUCUUGAAAUUAGCCUGUUCAAGAACAUCGGUGAUUCUGAACCAACUGGUCUUCCCAUAACACUUUUAAAACAUCAUGAUUCAAUUAAUGUCAGUGAUGAGUCUGCAGACGUGAAUAGAAGAAUGUUAAAGCUGAAGAGAUUUAGUCCUACACAUUAUAUUUGCACGAAAGACUAAUUCUUGAUAAUCCGCAAGUUUUUAUGUAAUCUGAGCUUCAUAUUAUAAAUCCAUUUCUAAAUGCCAGUGAAGGUAAACAGUAUUAAAAUAUUUACUCACUCGCGAGUUCGUUUGUCACAGUUACGUUAGUCACGCAUACAUAGUGCGUUUUUUGUUUACAGUGAAUUCUAUAUGGUGCUUUCUUAUUAUGUUAAUUCACAAAAUAAUAGUUAAGGCCAUGAAUCACUUAUUUAAAAAAAUAUUGUGUCAUAUUAAGCCGUUAUUUUAGAGAAUUUUAUACCUAAAGUAAGGAUUACUUUUACCAGGUUGCAUUUCUGUUAAGUUUGUCACAGUGUGCCAAAGUGUAUUUAAUUAUGAAAUUACGUUAAAAAAUAAAAUCAGAUCUCUAUUUUGUUCAUAUAUAAUUAAUUUACAAUAAUAUGUAAUUUAUUAUUAUUAUUCUGACAAUACAUAUUUUAAUUUCAUUAAAAACUGGAAGAAAAAUUGUGCAAAUGUUACGUUUGUCACAAUGGAAUGACCCUCCAAACAAAUUCGUCUACUGCUAUAAUUCACAAACAUCUCUAUAACUGGAUCAACAUGGCUGACCAAGUUCCGCCUCAACAUGCAAUGAUAGUUCCACAUUUCUCCUACAGGUUACAGCCCCAUAUAAGGGCAAAACAAGUACUGCCCCAUUGCACCCCAUUACACCCCAUGCUACUCCGGGUUUCCCUACAUGUUUGAUGAUAUUGAAAAGAUUACAAAAAUAUUUAAAAAGGUUAUACAAUCAUUUAGUUCCUACCUUUUUGUUAAUUUCAAUCAUUCCUGUUUCGUCCAAUCACUUUCCAUGAUAUGUGCUCAAUGUGGAGGAAGUUAUGUGUUUCAACAGUAAUCAGUAAAUUUUGUGAUUAGUCAAUGUAAUUCCAUUGGUUUGAUUCCCUGAUUCAAUAGUCU